UACGUAGGGGCGAGCGUUGUCCGGAAUGAUUGGGCGUAAAGGGCGCGUAGGCGGCUUAGCAAGUCUGGAGUGAAAGUCCUAUUUUCAAGGUAGGAAUUGCUUUGGAAACUGUUGAGCUUGAGUGCAGGAGAGGUUAUCGGAAUUCCCGGUGUAGCGGUGAAAUGCGUAGAGAUCGGGAGGAAUACCAGUGGCGAAGGCGGGUAACUGGACUGCAACUGACGCUGAGGCGCGAAAGUGUGGGGAGCAAACAGGAUUAGAUACCCUGGUAGUCCCU
rnacentral:rRNA from 1 species